UACGUAGGGGGCGAGCGUUGUCCGGAAUCAUUGGGCGUAAAGCGCGUGUAGGCGGCCCGAUAAGUCUGGUGUGAAAACUUGAGGCUCAACCUCAAGCUGUCAUUGGAUACUGUCGGGCUAGAGUACGGAAGAGGAGAGUGGAAUUCCUGGUGUAGCGGUGGAAUGCGCAGAUAUCAGGAGGAACACCUAUGGCGAAGGCAGCUCUCUGGUACGAGACUGACGCUGAGACGCGAAAGCAUGGGGAGCGAACAGG
rnacentral:rRNA from 1 species